AGCAGUCGCCGCGGUAAAACGUAGGUGGCAAGCGUUGUCCGGAAUUAUUGGGCGUAAAGGGCUCGCAGGCGGUUUCUUAAGUCUGAUGUGAAAGCCCCCGGCUCAACCGGGGAGGGUCAUUGGAAACUGGGAAACUUGAGUGCAGAAGAGGAGAGUGGAACUCCACGUGUAGUGGUGAAAUGCGUAGAUAUAUGGAGGAACACCGGUGGCGAAAGCGGCUCUCUGGCUUGUAACUGACGCUGAGGCUCGAAAGCGUGGGGAGCAAACAGGAUUAGAUACCCCGGUAGUCCCUGUCUCUUAUAU
rnacentral:rRNA from 1 species